GACGAACGCUGGCGGCGUGCUUAAUACAUGCAAGUCGACUGAACUUAAGGUAGCAAUAUUUUAAGGGAGGUGGCGCACGGGUGAGUAACACGUAGGUAAUCUGCCUUUAGGACUGACAUAACUCCGCGAAAGCGGAGCUAAUUUCAGAUGAUGCAGCGGCUCGACAUCGAGACAGUUGUUAAACCUUCGGGGCCUAAAGAUGAGCCUGCGUCUGAUUAGGUAGUUGGCGGAGUAAUAGCCCACCAAGCCAUCGAUCAGUAGCUGGUCUGAGAGGAUGAUCAGCCACACUGGAACUGAGACACGGUCCAGACUCCUACGGGAGGCAGCAGUAAGGAAUAUUGCUCAAUGGCCGAAAGGCUGAAGCAGCAACGCCGCGUGGAGG
rnacentral:rRNA from 1 species